AACGUUAGUUUUCAACGUUUCUUCUGUCUCUAUGGGUUCUCCCUUUCUCUGUCUCUCUCAUCAGAGAUCCAUGGCUCCUUCAACUUUUACCCACACGACCACUGAACCGACAUCACUACAUCAAUGAUGCUUCGACAACCUCUCCACCCCAGUCGUGAAUCAAUGGUUUUUCGGCCAUGGCUGGGCUUUGUUGAGAGUGAGAUGAGUGAAAGAGCCCAGAGUCAAAAGAAGAAAACCCAGCCAUGGCCGACUUCUCCUUGAACGCACAUCUCCGCCAUUGACAGAUCUUAUGACCAGAAUCACCUCGAAUAUCUAGUAAGGAAGGGCAUCAUUUUGGUAUAAUUGUUGGGGAGUCAAGCCAUCAGAAAUUGUCCGAAUCUGCAAAAUAUUCUCAAAAAGUAGAUCUUCAAGGAUGCAAGACUUUCUUCUUCUUUUUUCUUGCCCAAUUUUCUAUGAGAAUCAUGUAUUGUCAACAAUCAUGUUGUUAUGGUUUCAAUAGAACUCUUGUUAUCAUGGCUUCAUGGUCUUGUGAUCAAAAUGUUCAUUUUAAUAAACUUUUGAUCAUUUUUGGAUCA